GAUGAACGCUGGCGGCGUGCCUAAUACAUGCAAGUCGAGCGAACAGACGAGGAGCUUGCUCCUUCGACGUUAGCGGCGGACGGGUGAGUAACACGUAGGUAACCUACCUAUAAGACUGGGAUAACUUCGGGAAACCGGAGCUAAUACCGGAUAAUAUUUCGAACCGCACGGUUCGAUAGUGAAAGAUGGCUUUGCUAUCACUUAUAGAUGGACCUGCGCCGUAUUAGCUAGUUGGUAAGGUAACGGCUUACCAAGGCAACGAUACGUAGCCGACCUGAGAGGGUGAUCGGCCACACUGGAACUGAGACACGGUCCAGACUCCUACGGGAGGCAGCAGUAGGGAAUCUUCCGCAAUGGGCGAAAGCCUGACGGAGCAACGCCGCGUGAGUGAUGAAGGUCUUCGGAUCGUAAAACUCUGUUAUUAGGGAAGAACAAACGUGUAAGUAACUGUGCACGUCUUGACGGUACCUAAUCAGAAAGCCACGGCUAACUACGUG
rnacentral:rRNA from 1 species